rnacentral:rRNA from 1 species
GACGAACGCUGGCGGCGUGCUUAACACAUGCAAGUCGAACGGAAAGGCCCUGCUUUUGUGGGGUGCUCGAGUGGCGAACGGGUGAGUAACACGUGAGUAACCUGCCCUUGACCUUGGGAUAACUUCAGGAAACUGGGGCUAAUACCGGAUAGGAGCUCCCGCUGCAUGGUGGGGGUUGGAAAGUUUCGGCGGUUGGGGAUGGACUCGCGGCUUAUCAGCUUGUUGGUGGGGUAGUGGCUUACCAAGGCUUUGACGGGUAGCCGGCCUGAGAGGGUGACCGGCCACAUUGGGACUGAGAUACGGCCCAGACUCCUACGGGAGGCAGCAGUGGGGAAUAUUGCACAAUGGGCGGAAGCCUGAUGCAGCAACGCCGCGUGCGGGAUGACGGCCUUCGGGUUGUAAACCGCUUUCGCCUGUGACGAAGCGUGAGUGACGGUAAUGGGUAAAGAAGCACCGGCUAACUACGUG